rnacentral:rRNA from 1 species
UACGUAUGGGGCAAGCGUUGUUCGGAGUUAUUGGGCGUAAAGGGCGUGUAGGCGGCUCAUCAAGUCUGGUGUGAAAUUGCGGGGCUUAACCCCGCAUAGGCGCUGGAAACUGGUGGGCUUGAGUUCCUGAGGGGAAGCUGGAAUUCCAGGUGUAGGAGUGAAAUCUGUAGAUAUCUGGAAGAACACCGGUGGCGAAGGCGAGCUUCUAUCAGAGGACUGACGCUGAGGCGCGAAAGCGUGGGGAGCAAACAGG